rnacentral:lncRNA from 1 species
GAUUCUAAAGAGGGAAGGGGAAAUAAUAAGAAAUUUACAUUUGGAUAUGUUGAAAGAUUUUUAAUUUUUUAUCUCUUCAAAAUUGUAUCAACUCAAGUAGGUUCGGCAUUUUCCGACAAGCCUCGGCAACAAGGCUUGAUAUAUCUCGCCAGCUCACGGCAUUUCUCAGCAAGCCUUUACCAAUCAUGCACAACCUGUACUUCUAAAAUGACCUCGUCAAAACAAUGUCAUUUUGGGGUCUUGAUAAUAUGUAUUUUUCUUCUAUCAUCUCAGCUCGAGUCUCCAAUUCCCCCUACCCCCUCCUCCCCAAAAUAGUGUGGGAUGUUCACACAUUAUUUAAGUUUUUCUGACACCCCUUUUUAUUUUGGUUACAGAAUUUAAUAAAUCAAAUGAUAACAACUAAUAUAAAUAAGUAAUGGUGUGUGGGAAAUCAAAAGAAGUAUGUGUUUUAUCAUUUCCCACAAAAAAAUUCCUCCAAUCUUCUCCAAAGCUCUUAAUUCUAUAGGUUGAUGUAAUCACUUGUUUCUUUAAGAAAUAUAAACAAGAAGGUGAAGAACACAUAACUGUAGAGCAUGCAUUAAUUCGAUGCAAGUGUUCCACCAUCCACCUGGGCCUUUUUGAAUGAACGUUGUAUAG